GGAGGAAUAUUGCACAAUGGGGGAAACCCUGAUGCAGCGACGCCGCGUGAACGAAGAAGUAUUUCGGUAUGUAAAGUUCUAUCAGCAGGGAAGAUAAUGACGGUACCUGACUAAGAAGCACCGGCUAAAUACGUGCCAGCAGCCGCGGUAAUACGUAUGGUGCAAGCGUUAUCCGGAUUUACUGGGCGUAAAGGGAGCGUAGGCGGUCUGAUAAGUUGGAUGUGAAAUACCCGGGCUUAACUUGGGGGGUGCAUCCAAUACUGUUGGACUAGAGUACAGGAGAGGAAAGCGGAAUUCCUAGCGUAGCGGUGAAAUGCAUAGAUAUUAGGAGGAACAUCGGUGGCGAAGGCGGCUUUCUGGACUGCAACUGACGCUGAGGCUCGAAAGCGUGGGGAGCAAACAGGAUUAGAUACCCUGGUAGU
rnacentral:rRNA from 1 species